CUCUCCCACCUUCCAUCUUUUAAGCUGUGACAGUGGAGCCAACGUGGUCCCCAGGAGUUUCUAGGGAAGAUCAUCCCUGGGAGCUUGCACCUGGUGCUUGUCCCCACAGACCAAGUGACAAGGGGGCCUGUGACCAAGCUGGGCAGCAGGUGGCAAAGGGGAGAGCUCUGGGGAGGCCUGGAGAUGGGCCCUCCAUCUUAAGUGCUCUGCAUGUCAGCUGCUGAUUUCGACUAUCCCAGUCCUUCUGACUUCCAGUGACAGAGGGGAUCUCACGGGGAGGUGGGCUCCCAGCAACCAGGGAGAGAUGACUGUCCCUUUAGUCGAUUCUCUCCUGUGUUUGAGUGAGCCAUUUAUUCCUUGCCCAGCAUCCUGACCCAUAUGGGUGGAAAAGCCUUUCUCAGGGAGAAGCUGGAAGCUCAUACAGUGCCUGAGAACGGGAGAGAUGGUGCCGCACAGCGAAGCCUCCAGAAGCCUGAGCACACACAGUGGGUGCCCAAUAACCUCUUUCGCUUUUAUGUCUGUAAAAGAAACUUUGCUCUUUUUUAACUUAACCCAUAUCCCAUUCCACUUCCCACGUGGAGCGUCUCAUGAUUGCAAGACUACCGAAGUAAUUAACAAUUUUCAAAUGCAGGCCUUGCUGAAGAGCUUCUGGAUAAGACCUUGGAAUCUGUACCCCCGAGGGCUCCGGAGCAGGACUCCAGCUGGGCGGUGUGAGACUUACUGUCCUGAUGUGGGUGGCAGUUUAGAAUAGGGACUGUUUCAUUUCAUUAACAGAGCAAAGCAUGCUGUCAGCAGGCAGCAAUAGCCACAGGACAAGAUGCAACCAAAUCAGAGUCUGAAACCUCCUGUCCCGGCCACAAGCAAGCUCUUCCCCCUUAGGAUUCUUCAGGAGAAAGCCAGUUGUGAGACAAGGAGAACCCCCUCGAAGAGGAAUUAUGUGGACGUCUAAAGUGUUCUAAGCAUUCAGCUGCCUUAAAACUACCCCAAACACUGUUUGCUACAAAGCAGAAUUCAGUGUCCAGAGGGGUGUCCUGGACUCCACCCAGGAGGUUUAGUUUUUGAAGAGCCUAAAGGAUUCCCAGCGUCUCUCUGGGGUGAGUGUGAGAGCCGGAUUCCAAAGGCUUAUAUUGCGCCUGGAUGUUUUAACACCCUGCUCAACGAGUAUUUAACAGAAAUAAAAGAUUGUUCAGCUGGAGUCGACGUAUCUGAGGCAAAACUUUCUUAAACCCCACUAAUGUACAACCUCAAUCCACAACUGGAUUCAAUUACUGCGUGGAAAGAAAGGCAUUUUCUCAUAAAGCUGCUCUGUUUCCGUGCCUGGCUGUGAGCUGGGUCAGCCAUGACAAAGACAAGCCUGUGCGUUGUUUUUGGUUGUUUUUCUUUUCAAGCUCUUCCACUGGUACUGCCAGGCCCCAAGCUGUUUGGAGCAGUUAUGUGGGGGCCAGUUUACUUGUCUUGGCUUUCGGCCUUUCUGUCCAGAGUUGAUGAUAGAAGAACAAGCUGGUGUCCUGCGUGCCCAGUGGAAUUGAGGGGCUACACUGCGGCAAUUGCACCACGGAACACAUAGAACUUUCCUCUUUGGAGGGGCGGAAGGAAUAGAGCAAGACUUUGCCUUUUGAAUAUAUCGGGAAGAGGAGAAGUGCUCAGAACCUGGGAAAAUCUGGAAUUUUCCAAGUCCUUUUCAAUGCUUAAAUCAGCUCUUGCAAGCACUAAGCCUCGCAGCUGGGGCAGCAGCCAUCCUCACCAUGUGCUGGUUCGGAGGCAGUUUCCUCUGAAAUGACUGUGUAAAUUCAGUUCAAUAAGAAGUAAGGGUCAGCUGAGACGAGCUAGUUGGUUGAAGGCAGUCACGCAAGGGGUGAACGAGAAGUUUUGCUUUUAAUAAAGGACAGCUGGUCAAAGUUGUGCUGUGGAAGAUAAAUGAAUUGGCAAGUAAAGACCAUCAUGCCUACUGGCAAGACAGGCUGGCAAGCAAUUUUUGAAAACCAAAGAACUUUAAGGCCAGCUGAACAGGAGAAAGCUUCACUGAACAUUUCGUGGCAGUGCAUUCAUUUGACCAACAUGAGCUGAGAGCCGGCACCGGGCUAGGAGGUCAAGAUGUGAUCAUGGAUGAGAUCCCUCGUGGACCAUCUAACCUGUGCAGACUGUUUCCUUAUUCCACUGGAACGAAGUAGUACUAGGCAGUGAUUAAUUCUGGAUGACCACAUCAAAGGAGCCAUGGAACCAUUUCCCAUUAAGGACAAAUUACUAAACACUUGGUAAAGGCAAUAAUAAUCUUUGUUUUAUUGUUCUGACCUUACAAAUGUUUUUAUUUUCCCACAUAUCCUUGUGUGGUUCAAUUAUGUUUAUCACAUAGAGCUAAAAGUUAGGUGAUUCUAAGUUCCCUCUGCUAUUGAAGGGAAUUGUUGUGUGACUACACAAACUAUUCUAUUCUUUGCAAGCUGGAAUAAAUCCUCUAGUGCCUUUCUUCAUGAGCUGAAGUCCAUCUAUCCUUAAAGCUUAAUAUGAGUUUUCCAUAUAUCUUUGUACGAAUUAGGAUUUCAUGCAAAUAAAGUAGCUUAAACAAUAAAGAGAAAUAUUGGCUUACGUAAUAGAAAAAUCCAGAGGUAGUCGGCUUCAGGUAAAGUUUGGUCCAGCAAACAAUGUCAUAGAGGAGAAAAGCGUUACAGAGAGUGUCAGAACAUUGAGUAAAAAAAAUAUAUUAGGUUAGUUUUCAAGAUUUUGUGAUGUUUUUUGUACUGGUCAGCUUUUUGAAAUUUAUAAUGUAUUGUGAUGUCUUUUCUUACUCUAAAUAAUUUAGUAUUCAUAAUUUUUAUUCUCUAAAGUGAUUUCUGCAAAAUUGUAUAAACUUGAAGCUUCACAAAACCUGGAUCUAUCCUUGCUGAAGAUAGGGUAGAAAGUUGCUCCCAGAAGAAAAUAUUUUAUGAAAAAGGGGGUGAAAGGACAUCUAAUGGUGAAAACAUGGCAUGGCCACUAAAGAUUUAAACCUGUUGGAACUUUCUUAGCUUUCAAUUCCGCCUGUGAGUCUGACAAAUGUUUUAUCGGUAAUGAAGCCAUUUAAAAGCAGGGACUAUCUGUUAACUUCUCUGAUUGUGCCUCCAGUGAUCAGCAAAGCAAUUUGUAUGUAAAAACGUUGAUUUACAAAUGCUUCUUUUCAGUACUGUGAUUCCAAAAUGAUUACACUUUCUUUUUACUUGAACAUACAGGAAAGUUGCAUGGAGGAGUCCAAGCUCCAUGGAGGAGUUAAAUCAUAAACUCAAAAGACCCUACCCAGAAAUAUGAUUACAACAACAGCAAAACACGUUUCUAGAAUAACACAAUGACCUAAGCCUUGGCCACGGACUCACUCAUUUCAUAUAAUUAUCUAUUGCCUAUGUCCCUGGUAUUUGUUGAAAUAGAACUUUAACGAACGUAAGAAAUCCUGCCUGAUGUAAGAUUGUUAUUAAUUUAAGAAGCAUUAAACAUAACUCAGCAUUCUCUAUCAUGCUUGAAGAGCAUAUGUUUAUUUUAAAGGUUGAUCCAGAAAAUGCAUUUUAGGAAAGAGUUAGUGUGAAAUUACUUGGGAGGAAAAUAUUUGAAUUAGACUGCUCACCCUGGCCUUUCCAGGAAAGGUUUGGGAUUCCUGUUGAAUUUUGCCAUUAAUUAAAAUUGAUUCUCAGUAUGAAAGCUCGUGGGGAUGAAUUUGGUCAGGUUUGUCUAGAGAUUGUUGUCAUUGGUCUGGAGAGGUGAAGAUCUUACUCCUGCAGACUCUGUGGCUUCUCUCAGAGCUCCUUCAUUUGGCUGUUAUGGGUGACACUUUGGUACAUCAAUAAGUAACCGUAUUUGGGGGCCGCUUGGGGUCUGCUGGAAACAAAUCCAAACAAACCAGCAUUUACCUUAUUUGUACUUUGCUGUUUGCCAAGUUACCUCUGUCAACACAGCAUCUUCAUUUGUAAAAACCAAGGGAUUGUUCCAGAAUGAUCUCUGAGGUCCAAGCAGCUGUGACAUUCUGUUAUUCUAGGAUCCCACUCUAAAUACUCUCAGGAAAAUGUUAAAAGGCUUGAUUAACAUGGGAAGUAGUUCCCUGGAACUCAGGAAUCAUCUUCAGCUUGCGAAUGUACUGACUUUAAACUUUUCUGGAAAUUUUCUGAGAACAAGUAGUGCUUUCCAAGAUUUCUUAGAAAGGAGGAGACUUUUCUUCCCCUUCGGCAGUUAGACCACCCUGCCUCAGAAACCAUCUUGGAUUGGGGAUAUUUGUAGAAGUGUUCGUAGGCCUCAGAAUCACCUGGGGUCUGAUUAAGCACAGAUUGCUGGGUCCCACCCCCAGAGCCUCUGGUUCAGCUAGUCUAGGGAGGGGCCUGAGACUCUCCAUUUCUACCAAGUCCCCAGGUGAUGCUGGUGCUGCUGGUCGGGGACCACACUUAAAGCCUCUGGUUUAUAGCACUUACACAUUUAGCCGACUCUUCCCUUGAAGAUGGAGGACAUCUAAGGUCUGUGGCCUUAUGUAGGAUGAGGUCUAUAUAUUUUUUUGUCCCUAAAGACACCUCUUUUCUCCCUGCCCCACCCCAGGCCUGGAAAGUCAGAGUUAUGGUACGAGGCAGCCCAGCCAGAUGGUGGGUUCUCACUUUCCAAUCCCUGGCCGGAAGUAUGGAGGGGCCCUAGAGAAUACUUUUUUCUUUUCACCAGUGGUUUGUACUAGGAGACUUCUUAUUUGGGGGGACUGGAGCCAACUAGCAUUCCUGACCUUUCAUCCAGUCAAUUCUAUAAAUAUUCUUAAUUAAUCCUGAAAUAAGGCAUUUCAUCCAUUUAUGUAUCUAUCUGCCCAUCCAUCCAUCCAUCUAAAUAGUUUAUAAUCACCCUAGAAAAACUGAAGAAUAAACGCAAACAAAAAAUAAAUAACAUCCAAAAUCCCAAGAGCCCAAGAAAAUCACUUCUAAACUUUUCUGUAACUAUAGAAACACAUGUUACAAAAAUGGGGUCCUAUUGCUCUGAAACAUGCAUUACUAUCUACUGUGGACAUCUGUCCAUGUUAACAAAUAUGCAACCACACCAUCACUUUGAUUUUCACUUUAAAUUUAUAUAUUAUUGAUUAUAGAAGUAACAAUUUUCUAGUGUAAAAACUUUAGACAAUUCAGGAGUGUAGAAAAAAAUAGAAGUCCCAUUCUCCCAUACAAAACACUAUUUUCAAUAGCUGCAUAGUAUUUUAUUAUAUAGAAAACACCAUAAUUUAAGCAGUCCCCUGUGAACAUUAAGCCCACAAGUUGCUUCCUUUUUUGCUAUUAUAAAUAAUACUGUAUUUAAAAUUUUUGAAUGUAGAUACUUGCACCUUUCUAUGAUUAUUUCCUCAUUUUAAUGUCCUUGUGGUUAUAAGGGUAAUGUAUGUUCACACAAUUUAGAAAUAAUAAAAAUAGUUUUGUCUGAGGUACUUGUGACCAGCAGAUAGUUGAUUAACUGAAAAAGUUAGUAAAGCAAGGAAUCAUCAAAAAAGAGGAAUUUUAUGAAAGAUAAAGAUGACUCUAAUGUUAUUUAAGCUGUUCCAGGGUAUAGAAAGAGAAAAAAGUAUCCAAAUUAUUUUAUAUAGGCGACAUAACAUUGAUAAUAAUGUGCAACAAUUAUUGCGCAAGAAAACCAUAGAGUCAUCUCACUUACGACUAUUAAUGCAAUAAUCCAACAUAAAUGUUAGCAAAUAGACUUCAGUAACGCAUUAAAAGAAUAAUAACAUUAACAAUUAAGAAUUCCAGGAAUGCAAGGACUAUUUGAUAUUAGGAAAUUUAUCAUGAUAGGAGAAAAUUAAUAUCAUCUUUCCAGUAGGUACUAAGAAGGUAUUUGAUAAAAGAAAAACUAUCCAUUCCUUUUGAAGAAAAGAAAAACUAUAAAGAAGUAACAUUUUACAUGUCAAUUUGGCAAGUCUCAUAAGUUUGCUAACAAACUGUGUAGGUGAAAGUGAGAGAAAAAUAAACAUUAUUACACAUACUAAAUGGAGUGUGAAUUGGCACAAUGACUACGAAGGGGAAUUUGGCAAUAUUUAUCAAGAUUAUAGAUAUAAAUAUACUUCCACCCAGCAAUUCAUUUCUAGGAAUUUAGCCAACCAAUAGCUGAAACCGGUGUCCAGAUAGCCAUUAAUGAUGAUUCUUAAAAGUCAUGUAUAUAAGCAAUAUAUUAUCAGACUCCCACCAGGUUCCUUAUAGAUAACAUCUCUGAAGCUUGGGUCACCGUGGUAGCGGAUGAUUAAGUUGUUUUUCAGGAACUGAGAGUCAACACCUUGUCCAGUUCAGGCCAGUUGAGACCACCAACUCAUCAAUGGCACUGUGUGAAUGCCUGAUGGGUGGACUCUUUGACAUCAGGGAGCCAAAAACUCUACCCUCAGCUCAUGCUAAUGCCACCUUUGUGUGAACAUGUGUCCUCGGAAGAGCCAUGAAGCUUGACUACACCUGUGCCGAUCGUCUGUUACCUCACUUCACCUUCCCUCCAAUCAUCUAAGCUCACACUUCAGCCACCCUGCCACUUUGUACCAUAAAUAUCCCUAAUCCCCAUCUUCAGGGACGUGGAUCUGAGACUUGUUCUCUCCUCUCCUCGCUUGGCUGCCUUGUGAAUAAACUCUUUCUCCACUGUAAAAUUUGUCUCGGUGAUUAGCAUACUGUGCAGUGGGCAAAAUGAGCCUAGUUCAGCACCAUAGCUCUCCUAUGUGCAAAUGACAUAUGUGUGAAGUUAUUAAUUGUAGCAUUAUUUGAAAUUGCAAAAGAUUGGAAGCAAUCAAAAUGUCCAGCAAUACAAGUUUGGUUAAAUGAACUGUGUACAUUCAUACAAUGGAAAAAUAAUGCAGCUAUUUAAAAAAAUGUAACGACUUGGACUAUCUUCCAAGAUACAGUAUGGCAAGGUACAGAACCAUUUGUGUGAAAAAAGGAAGGAAACUAAUAUAAAUGUUUAUUUUUGCUUGUUUAUGCAUAAAAUAUUCUGAAAGGAUACCCAAGCAUCUUAGCUUGGUCUGUGAUAAAAUAUCAUAGUCUGGGGGGCUUAAAUAACAGAAAUUUAUUUUCUCACAGUUCUGGAGGCUGGAAGUCUGGGGUCAGGGUGUCAGCAUGUCAAGUUCUGGCGAGAGCUCUCUCUAUGGCUUGAAGAUGGCUGUCUUCUUGCUGUGUCCUCACAUGGUGGAGAGAGAGCAAACUUUCUGGUGUCUCUUCUUAUAAGCGCACUAAUCCCUAUAUGAGGGCCCCACCUUCAGGACCUCAUGGAAACUUAAUUACCUCCCAAGGGCUCCACCUCUAACUACUAUCACAUUGGAGGUUAGGGUUUCAACACAUGAUUUUUUCUGGUGGGGACACAAUUCAAUCUAUAAUACUAAGUAACUGAUAAUAGCAGUUGCCUCUGGGAACAGGGAGGGGAAAAAAAGAGGUAGGAGAUAUGGCUGUAAAGGUGAUUUUUCGCUGUUUGCUCUUUAUACCUCUGUAAUUUUCCAAUUUUCUAGCACCAACUGGGUGUUCAACAAUUCAAUUCCAACAUUGUCUACUUGGAGUUAGUGUCAUACGCCAUAAGUUAAGGGGCUCAGUCCCACAAGACUGUCCCCACUUCAGAUGCCGGUCACAAGUCCUGGGCCACCCAUACUUCUGACCAACCAGCUAUAAAUUGGGAGUUCCCUCGACCCCUUCCUCAGGUUUGAUAAUUUGCUGAAAUGGCUCACAGAACUCAGGAAAACAUUUACCUAUUUAUUAUAAAGGAUGCAAAUGAACAGUCAGAUGAAGGGGCACAUGGGUGAGGUCCAGAAGGGUUCUGAGUACAAAAACAUCUGUCCUUGUGGAGUUGGGGUGCACCACCCUCCCAGCACUCAGUUGU